GUGCUCGCUUUGGCAGCACAUACACUAAAAUUGGAAUGAUACAGAGAGAAGAUUAGCAUGGCCCCUGCAUAAGGAUGACAUGCAAAUACAAAAGUAGAACAUUCCAUUU